rnacentral:tRNA from 1 species
UCCCUGGUGGCUCAAAUGGUAAAGAAUCCGCCUGCAGUGCAGGAGACCCAGGUUCAAUCCCUGGCUAGGGAA